AUUGAACGCUGGCGGAAUGCCUUACAAAUGCAAGUCGAACGGUAACAGGUUAAGCUGACGAGUGGCGAACGGGUGAGUAAUAUAUCGGAACGUGCCAAGUCGUGGGGGAUAACUGCUCGAAAGAGCAGCUAAUACCGCAUACGACCAGAGGGUGAAAGCGGGGGAUGGCAAGACCUCGCGCGAUUGGAGCGGCCGAUAUCAGAUUAGGUAGUUGGUGGGGUAAAGGCCAACCAAGCCAACGAUCUGUAGCUGGUCUGAGAGGACGACCAGCCACACUGGGACUGAGACCCGGCCCAGACUCCUACGGGAGGCAGCGGUGGGGAAUUUGGACAAUGGGCGCGAGCCUGAUCCAGCCAUGCCGCGUGCGGGAAGAAGGCCUUCUGGUUGUAAACCGCUUUUGUCAGGGAAGAAAAGGUUCUGGUUAAUACCUGGGACUCAUGACGGUACCUGAAGAAUAAGCACCGGCUAACUACGUGCCAGCCGCCGCGGUAA
rnacentral:rRNA from 1 species